UCUCUCUCUCUCUCUCUCUCCACCCACAGUGAAAAGAGGCCACGUGAGGACACAGAAAGAAGGCAGCCAUCCACAAGCCAGAAAGAGGAGAGAAGCCUCACCAGAAACCAACCCUGAUGGCACCUUGGUCAUGGACUUUUAGCCUCUAGAACUGCGUGAGAAUAAAUGUCUGUGGUAUAAGGCACUCAAUCUGUGGCAUUUUGCUAGGGCAGCCUGAAUAGAUGAAUGCAGCCAGGCACACUGUUCUAAGCAUGAGCAACAGGGCAGUGAGCAAACAGAUGAGGUCUCUAUGCUCACAGAGCUUACAUGCUGGUAGCGGGAGAGACUCGUCCCCUGGAUCCUUCCACCCAAAGGUAGUAGUGGCUUCUUGCUUUUUCUGGGUGUCAAACUUCUGGGUUCCUUCUCUCUCGUUUGAUUUAUCACACUCUUUCAUUCCUAUGUAACACAUUCAAUGUAGUAAAUUUCCUUCUUCGAAAAUACUUGAAGUGCUUUCUAUUGCCUGGCUGGACCUAAGUAAUAAAAGUCUAUUUUCCACUGUGAUUUCUGAGGAUCACAGUAUAAUUCUGGUACCCAUAAAACAUGCAAAUAAUGCUUCAUUCAUUUUUCUUUUCUUUCUUUCUUUCUUUUUUUUUGAGAUAGGGUCUCACUCUGUCACCUAGGCUGGAGCGAAGUGUUAUAAUCAUGGCUCACUGUAGCCUCAAACUCCUGGGCUCAAGUGAUUCUCCCAUCUUAGCCUUCUGAGUAGCUAAUUUUUGUAGAGACGGGAUUUCAGCAUGUUGCCCAGGCUGGUCUCAAACUCCUGGGCUCAAGAAAUCCACAUGCCUCAGCCUCUCAAAGUGCUGGGAUUACAGGCGUCAGUCAUUUAUUCUUUUAUUUAUUUAUUUGAGACAGAGUUUCGCUCUGUUACUCAGGCUGGAGUGUAAUGGCGUGAUCUCAGCUCACUGCAACCUCCGCCUGCUGGUUCAAGCGAUUCUCCUGCCUCAGCCUCCCAAAUAGCUGAGAUUACAGACGUGCACCACCACGCCUGGC
rnacentral:lncRNA from 1 species